AGUGAGAAGGAAAUCCUUAAUCUCGUGAAUUUGCUUGGGCUGUGUAAAAAAACAAAAAGAACAGGUACACUUAGCAGCAAAAGAAAGCAAAGGAAAUGCAAAUUAUAACAUAUAUCAACAAAUAGACGCAGCUUUUCAUACUACAUAGUAAAACCAAGAUAUUCCAUAAAGAAAGGCUCAGGAUAUUGCCAAAUAAACGUGUGAACUCACAAGCUCACACACUGGAACCAAAAGAUAUUUAUCAAAUAGUAACUUGCAAUGCAGAAACACAGAUGACAAGAGUUUGACACUUGGGACAAGAAUGAAUACACUUACAAACAAUCCAUUAACAAAAUCCUAAUUAUGGGAGCUUAAAGCAGCCACCAAAGAGAAGAAAAGGCCUAUUCCUAGUUCAUUAAGAACAUUACAACACUGAAAGUCACAACACCCUCAUAUAACAAGAGAAGUUUACAAUGGUUAACUGAAUAUUCUGAACCUCUACAAGCAAAUUGUUUAUCAAAUAAAAUAUAAAAUAAUUCUACUAAUUAAACUUAUUUAGGAAAAAGUGCAAAAGGUAACAAGAAAAUGUAGUUUCCCAACACAAUGCAACAUGCAAUGUGGCCUUGGAUAGCAAGGGAGUCAACUUUCUAGGCUUUACAAAUAGCAGCAUUAACUAAUUAAACUUGAGUGCAAAGCUACAUUAAACAUUCAAGUGAAGCCUUUGCAGUUUACACAGAAAUUAAAAGGCAAAAAAUAAAGAAAAAAAAAAUUGAGAUCACUGUUUAUCAAAAUAUCAUUUGAAAAAUAAUUACUCCAAUUUCCCAUUUAUGGACAUGUUCAAAGUCAAAAACCAACAUAAUUUGUUUAUAUACAUGUUUAUAGAAAUGGUAAGAGGAAAUAUAGUUUCCCGACGUCCAAAUGCAA
rnacentral:misc_RNA from 1 species